rnacentral:rRNA from 1 species
GACGAACGCUGGCGGCGUGCCUAAUACAUGCAAGUCGAGCGGAUCUCUGAAGGAGCUUGCUCCUGAUGAGGUUAGCGGCGGACGGGUGAGUAACACGUAGGUAACCUGCCUGCAAGCCUGGGAUAACAUCCGGAAACGGAUGCUAAGACCGGAUACGCAGCUUGGUCGCAUGACCAAGCUGGGAAAGAUGGAGCAAUCUGUCGCUUGCAGAUGGGCCUGCGGCGCAUUAGCUAGUUGGUGAGGUAACGGCCCACCAAGGCGACGAUGCGUAGCCGACCUGAGAGGGUGAACGGCCACACUGGGACUGAGACACGGCCCAGACUCCUACGGGAGGCAGCAGUAGGGAAUCUUCCACAAUGGACGCAAGUCUGAUGGAGCAACGCCGCGUGAGUGAGGAAGGCCUUCGGGUCGUAAAGCUCUGUUGCCUGGGAAGAACGCCUAGGAGAGUAACUGCUCUUAGGGUGACGGUACCUGAGAAGAAAGCCCCGGCUAACUACGUGCCAGCAGCCGCGGUAACAC